rnacentral:rRNA from 1 species
AACGAACGCUGGCGGCAUGCCUAACACAUGCAAGUCGAACGAGACCUUCGGGUCUAGUGUCUCACGGGUGCGUAACGCGUGGGAACCUGCCCUUAGGUUCGGAAUAACUCCCCGAAAGGGGUGCUAAUACCGGAUAAUGUCUUCGAACCAAAGAUUUAUCGCCUUUGGAUGGGCCCGCGUUGGAUUAGCUAGUUGGUAGGGUAAAAGCCUACCAAGGCUACGAUCCAUAGCUGGUCUGAGAGGAUGAUCAGCCACACUGGGACUGAGACACGGCCCAGACUCCUACGGGAGGCAGCAGUGGGGAAUAUUGGACAAUGGGCGAAAGACUGAUCCAGCAAUGCCGCGUGAGUGAUGAAGGCGUUAGGGUUGUAAAGCUCUUUUAACCGGGAUGAUAAUGACAGUACCGGGAGAAUAAGCUCCGGCUAACUCCGUG